rfam:Colletotrichum sublineola strain TX430BB Scaffolds0096.1, whole genome shotgun sequence.
UUCGACAGGAGAAUCAUUUCUAUAGUAUUCGACCCUCUCUUGGUUCCCUAAAAGAGCCACAGAUCCCACCCUGGUUGAUGAGUGAUAUCCUCGACAUCCUAGAGUGAAGAACUCUGGUUGCCCUCGUACCUUCCAUCAGGAAGGCGGCACAAGGGCUCUGUCUCUGUGCUGUAUAGAGGGCGGUGAUGAUCUCGUCCCCUGUCGCGGUCUUGUCUUCGGGCGCGCGGUCGGGGUGGAUGUCGAUGGACGUCUGACAGGC